rnacentral:lncRNA from 1 species
GUGCUUUUGGUUAGUAAACAAAAUAAUAAAAGAAAUAAUGUACAAUUCAAGCAUGCUUGGUGGUCUCAAACACUCACGCAAGUCCCAACCCAAGGGUUAAGGAGCCAUACAUGUUAUGAUCCUUGAGGCCAUGUAUAGAGUAAUGAUAUGAUGCCAUGAGGGAUCUUAGGGUCAAAAUCAGGGUCUUACAGAUACCAUGCAUCUCUUCAUAAGCUUUUUCACCUCAUACUUCAGCGGAUAACAAUUGUC